AUUGAACGCUGGCGGCAGGCCUAACACAUGCAAGUCGAGCGGUAACAGAGAGUAGCUUGCUACUCUGCUGACGAGCGGCGGACGGGUGAGUAAUGCUUGGGAAUAUGCCUUAUGGUGGGGGACAACAGUUGGAAACGACUGCUAAUACCGCAUGAUGUCUACGGACCAAAGUGGGGGACCUUCGGGCCUCACGCCAUAAGAUUAGCCCAAGUGGGAUUAGCUAGUUGGUGAGGUAAUGGCUCACCAAGGCGACGAUCCCUAGCUGGUUUGAGAGGAUGAUCAGCCACACUGGGACUGAGGCACGGCCCAGACUCCUACGGGAGGCAGCAGUGGGGAAUAUUGCACAAUGGGCGCAAGCCUGAUGCAGCCAUGCCGCGUGUGUGAAGAAGGCCUUCGGGUUGUAAAGCACUUUCAGUAAGGAGGAAAGGUUAAGUGUUAAUAGCACUUAGCUGUGACGUUACUUACAGAAGAAGCACCGGCUAACUCCGUGCCAGCAGCCGCGGUAAUACGGAGGGUGCGAGCGUUAAUCGGAAUUACUGGGCGUAAAGCGUACGCAGGCGGUUUGUUAAGCGAGAUGUGAAAGCCCCGGGCUCAACCUGGGAACUGCAUUUCGAACUGGCAAACUAGAGUGUGAUAGAGGGUGGUAGAAUUUCAGGUGUAGCGGUGAAAUGCGUAGAGAUCUGAAGGAAUACCGAUGGCGAAGGCAGCCACCUGGGUCAACACUGACGCUCAUGUACGAAAGCGUGGGGAGCAAACAGG
rnacentral:rRNA from 1 species